UUUUUUUUUUUUUUUUUUUUUGGCAGUAAAGGAAUUUGAAGUAUCCAGUUUUUUAAAUAAAUUAAUAUGUAUUGAAUUGGAGUUUAGCAGUACUUUUAGUUAAGAUCUCAGUUAAGGUAAAAAGGUCAGACCUGUAGAGUUAUUAAUUUGUAGAAAAUUCUGACUACAGCAAAACAUAUUAGCCCAAGUUCUCUUUAUUAAUAAAACAUUAGUUACAGAAAUACUAAAAAAUAGAUUGGUUGGUCUCCUGAAUGUCCUGCGUUAGGUAAGUUGCCUUAUGCCAUCUGGAAGACUUUUUAUUUUCUCUUCAUAGAAGGAUACAAUAGAUUUGUUUUGCUCAAAGAGUUCAUUUUCUGUUGCUGGGCACAUAUAUAAUACUGUAAACACAUUUCUGGAUAUGACGACAUAAUGAUGAAGAGAGACCUUUGAAUAUUUUCUUAAAUGAAGAUUGAAGGAGUAGUAAGCUGUGAGAGGAGAUUUUUCUACUAUUUCAGUCCUAAGAUUGAUCUUUUUUGUCAUGGAUUUAUCCCUUUGUCUCUAUGCAUUUCUAUGUGUCUGCUCAGCAUCUUAUCUUCUACAUUUGCCCUAGUUCCAUCCUUCCUUUUUUCCAUGCUUGUUUUUCCAUACACCUGCCCAUCCACCCUCCUGCCUCUCUAUCCAGUCGUCCGUCUAACCAUUUCUGGCAAUUCUUACCUCCCUGUUUCAUGUAUAUCUCUCCAUUUUUACCUGUCAUUUAUAUUUAUCUAUUUGCCUAUCCAUAUCUACACCUGCUUGUCUGCUCACUGUCUAUCUAUAAAGUUAAUGGAGAUGAUUUUGAUGAAAACUUAUGAAUUUCUUUAUUGCAUUUUACACUGUGGGUUACAGGGGCCAAAGGCCAUGGGGACCAGAAAGUGGAAAUAACCAGAGCUCGGCCAUUUUUGUUUCAUUUCAAAAUCAGGAGGGAAGGUCAGAACUAACCUGAUUAUCCUUUCUGUGAUGCUAAUCAGGAUGUUCUUAGUAUAAUGCCUUUUGGAGACUGUUAUUUUAAGGAAUGUUUUGCUAAGAAUCAGUUGCCAGGACAUAGAAUGAAGAGCUAUUGUAUAGCUUCAGAGUAGUUCUCUUUUAAGAAGGAUAUAAUAAAUUAAAAAUAAUUUUCUUGAGGUCAGACUAAGGAAAAGUCAAAGAUAUACAAUUGCCAUCUCUCCAAAUUUAUUGAUUUUAUUUAUUUAUUAUUUAUUAUUAUUAUUAUUUGAGACAGAGUCUCACUUUGUUACCCAGGCUGGAGUGCAGUGGCACGAUCAUAAUUCACUGCAACCUCAAUGUCCUGGAGUCACUGAAGCCUCUCAAGUACCUUGGACUACAGUUGUGUGCCACAAUGCCCAGCUAAUUUUUUUUGUACUUUUUUUAAAGACAGUAUUUUGCCAUGUUGCCCAGGCUGGUGUUGAACUCCCGGGCUCAAACUAUCUGCUUGCCUUGGCCUCCCAAAGUGCUGGGAUUAUAAGUGUUAGCCACUGUACCCAGCCCAAUUUACUGACUUAAAAAAAAAGAAAAAAAAAA
rnacentral:lncRNA from 1 species